UACGAAAGGGGCUAGCGUUGUUCGGAAUUACUGGGCGUAAAGCGCACGUAGGCGGCCUUGUAAGUUGGGGGUGAAAUCCCGGGGCUCAGCUCCGGAACUGCCUUCAAGACUGCAAAGCUAGAGGACGCGAGAGGUUAGCGGAAUUCCGAGUGUAGAGGUGAGAUUCGUAGAUAUUCGGAAGAACACCAGUGGCGAAGGCGGCUAACUGGCGCGUUUCUGACGCUGAGGUGCGAAAGCGUGGGGAGCAAACAGG
rnacentral:rRNA from 1 species